CAGUUUGCCUUGGAGAAGGCAAGUGGGAAGGCUUGGGAAACGCUGCUGCGUCCUGGCAGGGACACUGCGUUUCUUUCAGACUUUGAAGAUCUGUCGUUUUAGAAAAGUGGCUGCCUCUGCCCCCAGCCCUGUGGUUACUGUCCUGUAGUGUGACUGUCAGGAGGUGUUUCUCGGUCCUUCAUUGCGAGAAUGUAGACGCCGGUUGCACAUUCUGUUGUCUUGGAAGAAACUGCAGUGCUUGGCUGGAAAAUAAGCUGCUCGGGACUCCACUGAGAAGCCAGAGUGAAGCUCAGAGAUGGAAAAUUUGGGCAGUUGUCUGGACAUUAGGAGUUGAGUCAUCUCCUACCCAUGAGAAACAAGCCUGUGGGAGGACUGAUAUUAUCACUUCUGUCAUCAAGAAAUAAGGCCGUGGGCAUCCUGAAUAUAUGGCAUGUAUUAAUCGAACUGCGAAAAUGAAACGCAGCCAGUGAUGACUGCUGGAAGUUGGCCAAUGUCCUGUUGUCAUGGUGCCCUCAGCCUAGGGACUGGCCUAUGGCUCACUGGACCUGUCUCCCCCUCUCCACCUCCCAUCAGCACCUGGACCUGGUGCACGUGGUCUACCUCAUGUCCAGCAUUUUCCACAGUACCUGACUGCUGUCCCCACCCCUUGUUGUUGUGUGGUGAACUUGUCCCUAUAUUGGCAAGUUACUUAAUUCCUUGGUGUCCUGCCUUCCUCAUUGUAAAAUGCGAAUAGUCAUAGCACGAAUGUCAUGAGUUCUCGUGAAGAUUUUAUGAUUAGCACACAUGUUACAAGGAGACACGAUAACUGUUAUGUACAUACCCAUUCAUUCAGAAAUAUAACAGAAAGCUUAGUGUCUCCAUCUGGGUCCCUCUGCCCCGUGGGAAUCCAUAAAGAAUUGAUUCUCAUCCCCCGGAAAUGAGAUCCCUCUUGCGUCAUCAAUUACAUGGCAUGUUCUGCA